rnacentral:rRNA from 1 species
AGCAGCCGCGGUAAUUCCAGCUCCAAUAGCGUAUAUUAAAGUUGUUGCAGUUAAAAAGCUCGUAGUUGAAUUUCGGGAUUAGUACGUUGGUCGUGCCUUAGGUACGUACUGGUGUUACUGGUUCCUACCUUCUGACGAACCAUCAUGUCAUUAAUUUGGUGUGGCGGGGAAUCAGGACUGUUACUUUGAAAAAAUUAGAGUGUUUAAAGCAGGCUCGCGCUUGAAUACAUUAGCAUGGAAUAAUGAAAUAGGACGUUGACCCUAUUUUGUUGGUUUCUAGGAUUGACGUAAUGAUUAAUAGGGAUAGUUGGGGGCAUUAGUAUUCAAUUGUCAGAGGUGAAAUUCUUGGAUUUAUUGAAGACUAACUACUGCGAAAGCAUUUGCCAAGGAUGUUUUCAUUAAUCAAGAACGAAAGUUAGGGGAUCGAAGACGAUCAGAUACCGUCGUAGUCUUAACCAUAAACUAUGCCGACUAGGGAUCGGAUGAUGUUAUUUUUUAAUGACUCAUUCGGCGCCUUACG